AGAUGGCAGACACACUGCGGAUGCUAACGUCCGUAGUGGAGAGGGAAACAACCCUGACCGACAGCUAAGGCCCCUAAUUCAUGGCUAAGUGGGAAAGCAGGUGGGACGACCAAAACAACCAGGAGGUUGGCUUAGAAGCAGCCACCCUUUAAAGAAAGCGUAAUAGCUCACUGAUCGAGUCGUCCUGCGCGGAAGAUGUAACGGGGCUAAGCCAGUCACCGAAGCUGCGGAUAUCCUUUAUUGGAUAUGGUAGGAGAGCGUUCUGUAAGCCUGUGAAGGUGGGUUGUGAA
rnacentral:rRNA from 14 species